UAGAGAAAUCUUCAACUGAGUCUGACUCUAGAUACACUAUACAUAGACCAAUGACGCAUAGUACUAAGAGUACAGAUGAACCAAUGGACAUCGGUGCCAUCAAAGGACCGUUAACCCCAGAGGAAAAACAUAGACGCAGAAUCAAUCACCUAUGUUUAUAUUGUGCCUCAAAAGAGCAUGAAGUCCCUCUCUGUCCACUUUUGUUGAAAACCAAAAAGGUGGGAUCGUCAGCAGCAUCUCUCUGAAGCAGUCAUCGAUUCUGGUGCUUUUUCCUCCUAUAUUGAUUUGUCAUUUGUUAAUACAAAUAAAAUCCCAUUAAUUGCAAAAGAAAAA